UCAAGAGCUUGAGGCCAACCAACUAUAUAGAAACCCUGGUUCAUAAAGUGAAGAGGGGAUAGGAAUGUGGAUCAGUGGUUGAGGGUAAAUAUCCAUGAGCCCCUGGGUUUCCUCAGCAUCUAAAAAAAGAAAGAAAAAAACCCACAGAUAAAAAAAAUUGCAAAUCAUGUAUUUGGUAAGGUUCUUAUGUCCAAGUUACAUAAGAAACUGUCUUACAAUUCAAUAAUAAAAAGACAAAUAAUUCAACUUCUGGUUUUAGCUAAAGAUCUUAGAAGGAGGGGCUGGGGAUAU